CGCGGGGUGGAGCAGUCUGGUAGCUCGUUGGGCUCAUAACCCAAAGGUCGCAGGUUCAAAUCCUGCCCCCGCAA
rfam:Oceanobacillus iheyensis HTE831 DNA, complete genome.